AGGUCUGUGGAUUUAAACUUUCUUCCGUCGGUUGAUCCUGAAACGGUUCUUCAGACAGGGCAUGAAUUGUUAUCCGAAUUACAGCAGCGUCGAUUUAAUGGCUCAGAUGGAGGGGUUUCAUGGUCUCCUAUGGAUGAUGAACUUCUUGCACAGCCACAGGUUAUGAAAUUAUUAGAUUCACUCCGAGAGCAAUAUACCCGCUACCAGGAAGUUUGUAGGCAACGUAGCAAGCGCACACAGUUAGAAGAGAUUCAACAGAAGGUAAUGCAGGUUGUGAACUGGCUAGAAGGGCCUGGAUCAGAACAACUAAGAGCCCAGUGGGGCAUUGGAGACUCCAUUAGGGCCUCCCAGGCCCUACAGCAGAAACACGAAGAGAUUGAGAGCCAGCACAGUGUGAGAGGCUUUUUCCUCUGCAAGUUACAAUGCUAUUAUGAACGUGGGUAAUUAGUAGCAUAUGUGGUACUGAGUGAUAAGUUGCUGCAAACUUUGGUAUGGGGCAUGAAUUACAGUUUGUUAAGUGCCUAGAGGUCAUAAAGUACAUUUUGAUUACUUAGUACAUGUUAAUUAGAAGGUUGUUUUUGGUUUUGUCUCUAAUGCAGUUUAAUUAUAUUUUUAUAGAAGCACAAUUUGCAUGAAAUUUUAAAAGCUACAG
rnacentral:sRNA from 1 species